rnacentral:rRNA from 1 species
CAGUCGCCACGGGAACACGUAGGGUGCAAGCGUUGUCCGGAAUUAUUGGGCGUAAAGAGCUCGUAGGUGGUCUGUCACGUCGGCUGUGAAAACCUGGGGCUCAACCCCGGGCCUGCAGCCGAUACGGGCAGACUAGAGUUCGGCAGGGGAGACUGGAAUUCCUGGUGUAGCGGUGAAAUGCGCAGAUAUCAGGAGGAACACCGGUGGCGAAGGCGGGUCUCUGGGCCGAUACUGACACUGAGGAGCGAAAGCGUGGGGAGCAAACAGGAUUAGAUACCCCAGUAGUCCCUGUCUCUUAUAC